CACGGGAGACACACGGCGGGUGCUAACGUCCGUCGUGAAGAGGGAAACAACCCAGACCGCCAGCUAAGGUCCCAAAGUCAUGGUUAAGUGGGAAACGAUGUGGGAAGGCCCAGACAGCCAGGAUGUUGGCUUAGAAGCAGCCAUCAUUUAAAGAAAGCGUAAUAGCUCACUGGUCGAGUCGGCCUGCGCGGAAGAUGUAACGGGGCUAAACCAUGCACCGAAGCUGCGGCAGCGAACGUAUCACCCAAGACAACUUUACGGAGUUGACGAUUGACGGAGCGAAGCGACGUCAAAGCGUUCAUUAAAGUCGAGUUGGCUUAGGGAUACGUUCGUUGGGUAGGGGAGCGUUCUGUAAGCCUGUGAAGGUGUGUCGUGAGGCAUGCUGGAGGUAUCAGAAGUGCGAAUGCUGACAUAAGUAACGAUAAAGCGGGUGAAAAGCCCGCUCGCCGGAAGACCAAGGGUUCCUGUCCAACGUUAAUCGGGGCAGGGUGAGUCGACCCCUAAGGCGAGGCCGAAAGGCGUAGUCGAUGGGAAACGGGUUAAUAUUCCCGUACUUGGUGUUACUGCGAAGGGGGGACGGAGAAGGCUAUGUUGGCCGGGCGACGGUUGUCCCGGUUUAAGCGUGUAGGUGUGUGUUCCAGGUAAAUCCGGUUCACUUUAACACUGAGGCGUGACGACGAGGCACUACGGUGCUGAAGCAACAAAUGCCCUGCUUCCAGGAAAAGCCUCUAAGCAUCAGGUAACACGAAAUCGUACCCCAAACCGACACAGGUGGUCAGGUAGAGAAUACCAAGGCGCUUGAGAGAACUCGGGUGAAGGAACUAGGCAAAAUGGUGCCGUAACUUCGGGAGAAGGCACGCUGACACGUAGGUGAAGUGAUUUACUCAUGGAGCUGAAGUCAGUCGAAGAUACCAGCUGGCUGCAACUGUUUAUUAAAAACACAGCACUGUGCAAACACGAAAGUGGACGUAUACGGUGUGACGCCUGCCCGGUGCCGGAAGGUUAAUUGAUGGGGUCAGCGUAAGCGAAGCUCCUGAUCGAAGCCCCGGUAAACGGCGGCCGUAACUAUAACGGUCCUAAGGUAGCGAAAUUCCUUGUCGGGUAAGUUCCGACCUGCACGAAUGGCGUAAUGAUGGCCAGGCUGUCUCCACCCGAGACUCAGUGAAAUUGAACUCGCUGUGAAGAUGCAGUGUACCCGCGGCAAGACGGAAAGACCCCGUGAACCUUUACUAUAGCUUGACACUGAACAUUGAGCCUUGAUGUGUAGGAUAGGCGGGAGGCCUUGAAGUGUGGAGGCCAGUCUGCGUGGAGCCGACCGUGAAAUACUAUCAUUGAAUGUUUGAUGUUCUAACGGGGACCCGUAAUCCGGGUUGCGGACAGGGUCUGGAGGGUAGUUUGACUGGGGCGGUCUCCUCCUAAAGAGUAACGGAGGAGCAC
rnacentral:rRNA from 1 species